rnacentral:rRNA from 1 species
UACGAAGGGGGCUAGCGUUGUUCGGAAUUACUGGGCGUAAAGCGAACGUAGGCGGUGUUCCAUGUCAGAGGUGAAAGCCUGGGGCUCAACUCCAGAAUUGCCUUUGAUACUGGUAGUCUCGAGUCCGGAAGAGGUGAGUGGAAUUCCGAGUGUAGAGGUGAAAUUCGUAGAUAUUCGGAGGAACACCAGUGGCGAAGGCGGCUCACUGGUCCGGUACUGACACUGAGAGACGAAAGCUAGGGGAGCAAAUGGG